GGAAGAAUCUCCGCGGCUUCUCGAGUCUUCCAUAGAUCAACUGCUUUCGAAAGACGGUCUUUUUUAAUUCUCCUCCUCUUCUUCUUUGUCCUCACAAAGCGCCAAUCUUCCAUCUCCAAUUCAAAGCAUCGUCACUGCUUCCUCUGUCGCUGGAAAUCUGCUUGCUGCAUAAUCGAUCCUUAAUGAGUCAUAUCCUUUGCUGAUCACGAACGCGGAAACCAGAGAGAGCGAGAUCGGGAAAGAGCUCAAGCUAGGGCUGGACAUAAGUCCAAGAACCCUAAAGACGACGGAUUGACUCCUGAACAACGCCGUGAAAGGGAUGCAAAAGCUUUACAAGAGAAAGCCGCGAGGAAGGCUGCUCAGGCGGCUGCAGGAGGCAAUAAUGCCGGAGGCCAAGUAGGUAGAAAAAACAAGAAAUGAUUGGUAUUGUUAGAGGUGGUGUAAAUUAGGUGUAUGAGAUUGUUUGCCUGGAUCCAUCUUAUCAGAUUUGGUUUUGUGGGUAUUGGAAGUUGAAGUUGUAUUGAGCAUUUAACAAACAAUUGCAUUGAUGUUGGCUUCUGAACCUCUGAUUUUAUUUCUGAUUUGGAAUGGAAUUUCUAUGUGUAUUUGCAUAGUAUUCUUCAUUUAAUACAAUUUAAGCAUUAGCAUUGCAUUUGA